GACGAACGCUGGCGGCGUGCUUAACACAUGCAAGUCGAACGGAAAGGCCCUACUUUUGUUGGGUGCUCGAUUGGCGAACGGGUGAGUAACACGUGAGUAACCUGCCCCUGACUUUGGGAUAACUCUAGGAAACUGCGGCUAAUACCGGAUAUGAGAUCCUGCUGCACAGUGGGGGUUGGAAAGUUUCGGCGGUUGGGGAUGGACUCGCGGCUUAUCAGCUUGUUGGUGUGGUAGUGGCUUACCAAGGCUUUGACGGGUAGCCGGCCUGAGAGGGUGACCGGCCACAUUGGGACUGAGAUACGGCCCAGACUCCUACGGGAGGCAGCAGUGGGGAAUAUUGCACAAUGGGCGGAAGCCUGAUGCAGCGACGCCGCGUGCGGGAUGACGGCCUUCGGGUUGUAAACCGCUGUCGCCUGUGACGAAGCGUGAGUGACGGUAAUGGGUAAAGAAGCACCGGCUAACUACGUG
rnacentral:rRNA from 1 species